UACGUAGGGUGCGAGCGUUGUCCGGAAUUACUGGGCGUAAAGAGUUCGUAGGCGGUUUGUCGCGUCGUCUGUGAAAACCCACCGCUCAACGGUGGGCCUGCAGGCGAUACGGGCAGACUUGAGUACUGCAGGGGAGACUGGAAUUCCCGGUGUAGCGGUGAAAUGCGCAGAUAUCAGGAGGAACACCGGUGGCGAAGGCGGGUCUCUGGGCAGUAACUGACGCUGAGGAACGAAAGCGUGGGUAGCAAACAGG
rnacentral:rRNA from 1 species